rnacentral:tRNA from 1 species
GGCCAGGUAGCUCAGUCGGUAGAGCAACGGACUGAAAAUCCGUGUGUUGACGGUUCGAUUCCGCCCCUGGCCA